rnacentral:rRNA from 1 species
UAGGGGGGUUCUUUCUUAAGCUGUCGAUGGUCAUGGUUUAGCCCGACACCGAAUCCUGUACCUUUGGUAUUGGGAGUUGUGGUGGAUAGGAUUGUGUCUUUAAUUUUGGCGUUGUUUUGAAAUUCGUUUGAAUACGAUCUCCAUAGAGGGUGUCAGACCUGUUCGAAGCGACAAAAUUAUUAUUGAUGCUUUCCAAUGAGUAGGAUUGUUUGGGAAUGCAGUCCAAAUUGGGUGGUAGAUUCCAUCUAAGGCUAAAUACUUGUCUGAGUCCGAUAGAGAACAAGUACCGUGAGGGAAAGUUGAAAAGAACUUUGAAGAGAGAGUUAAAUAGCACGUGAAAUCGCUUAGAGGUAAACGAGUAGAGCCGAAGGUUGGUGUAUGGAAUUCAGCUAUUUAGUUAUUACGAUUGGUAGUUUAGAAUCUGUAAAGUUUUGAAUUAUUGAUUGUUAGUAAUUGAGUAGUGCACUUUCUGUAUAUCAAAUAUGCGAUCGAUAUGAAAUUCUUCUGUCGUAGAGAUGAAGUUAGCCUUAUUUUCGGAUUUGGUAUUAUAGCUUUCUGCAUGGUUGAAUUUUGCAUCGGUGACAGUGAUCAGCUAACAUUGGUUGGUAGUUAUGUUGAAGUUAUUAAGGUAAACUUAAAAAGAUUGCUUUUUUGCUUUGAUGUAAUUGCUAAUUGAUAGGUUGGUGCAAAGUCAGCAUUGUAUAUGUAGGCAGUCUACUUGUCCCGUCUUGAAACACGGACCAAGGAGUUUUUUAUACUUGCAAGUCAAAGGGCCUUACGAAACCCCACGGCGAAAUGAAAGUGAAACGCUAGACUUCGGUUUAGUAAAAUAUGACCUCUGAGGCACACCCUCGGAGUGCAAUAUUGCCCUGUUCAAAUAUGUUCGCAUAUGGGCAGAGGUUGAGCAAGUAUGAAGAGACCCGAAAGAUGGUGAACUUUGGUUGUGCAGGUUGAAGCCAGAGGAAACUCUGGUGGAGGACCGAAGCAGUUCUGACGUGCAAAUCGAUUGUCGGACAUGACCAAAGGGGCGAAAGACUAAUCGAACCAUCUAGUAGCUGGUUCCCUCCGAAGUUUCCCUCAGGAUAGCUGGCGCUGAUCGAACUAGUUAUAUCCGGUAAAGCGAAUGAUUAGAAGUAUCGGGGAUGAAAUGUUUUCGACUUAUUCUCAAACUUUAAAUGGGUAUGAUGUGCUGCUAUCUUCAUUGUAGUAGUACGAUUAAUAACAGUGCUUAGUGGGCCAUUUUUGGUAAGCAGAACUGGCGAUGUGGGAUGAACCAAACAUCUAGUUAAGGUGCCUAAUUCAUGCUCAUGAGACACCACAAAAGGUGUUGGUUGAUAAAGACAGCAGGACGGUGGACAUGGAAGUCGUCAUCCGCUAAGGAGUGUGUAACAACUCACCUGCCGAAUCAACCAGCCCUGAAAAUGGAUGGCGCUGUAGCAUGGAACCUAUACUGGAUCGGCAGGGUAAGCAUUUAUGCGAGUAAGCCUUGUCGUGUAGGAGGGUGCUGUGAUAGCACGGAAGCUACAAGUGUGAACUUGGGUGGAGCUGUCACGGGUACAGAUCUUGGUAGUAGUAGCAAUAUUCAAUUAAUUCCCC